UCAUGGAAGUGUGAUUUCAUUAUAUUUUGUGUUGAAAAUCAUAACAACAUCGUACUUUAUUGUGUUGUUUUCCAAAACAAAGCAAAAAAACUAUAAUAGAAAUAUGAUUCUGUUCUGAUCUCAACCCUGAGAACAAUGAAAUCGUACUUUCAUUG
rnacentral:pre_miRNA from 1 species